rnacentral:rRNA from 1 species
GACGAACGCUGGCGGCGUGCUUAACACAUGCAAGUCGAGCGGUAAGGCCCUUUCGGGGGUACACGAGCGGCGAACGGGUGAGUAACACGUGAGCAACCUGCCCUUCUCUUUGGAAUAAGCGUUGGAAACGACGUCUAAUGCCGAAUAUGACCCCCUGUCGCAUGGUGGGGGGUGGAAAGCUCUGGCGGAGAAGGAUGGGCUCGCGGCCUAUCAGCUUGUUGGUGUGGGUAAUGGCCCACCAAGGCGACGACGGGUAGCCGGCCUGAGAGGGUGACCGGCCACACUGGGACUGAGACACGGCCCAGACUCCUACGGGAGGCAGCAGUGGGGAAUAUUGGACAAUGGGCGAAAGCCUGAUCCAGCAACGCCGCGUGAGGGAUGACGGCCUUCGGGUUGUAAACCUCUUUCAGCAGGGACGAAGCGAGAGUGACGGUACCUGCAGAAGAAGCACCGGCUAACUCCGUGCCAGCCGCCGCAGUAA